CCCCAUGUAUGUAGGCACCCACUUUUUCCGAUCAUCAUAUAAUGACUGAAUCCAUGCAUCAUCUUGGAGUUCAAAUUGAGUGACCAUCGUCCACCACCUCAUAUAUAUCAAACUCUUCAUCUGUCCAUGAUUUAAAAACACACUUGUGGAAUUCUGGCAUAAAAUCAUCAUGCCGUUUGAUUACAUGAGAAAGAGUUUCUGGCAUCUUUUCCAAUAUAUGCCAAAUAGAAAAACAAUGACGGGUAUUUGGGAAGACUUCUUCAAUUGCUACCUUUAAGGUUUUGUCCAGAUCAGUGAUUAUAACUUUAGGGGCUUUCCCACCCAUUGCUCUAAGCCAUGUUUUCAAUAACCAAACAAAUGUCGACCUAGAGUCAUCCGCAACAAAUGCACAUCCAAGCAAAAUCAACUGACAAUGAUGAUUUACCCCAACAAAAGGAGCAAAUGGCAAUUUGUCAUGGUAUUUUACAUAGAAGGUAUCGAAAGAAACAACAUCAUUAAAGCUGAUGUAAUCAUUCCUACUUUUUGCAUCAACCCAGAACAA
rnacentral:misc_RNA from 1 species